CCUACGGGUGGCAGCAGUGAGGAAUAUUGGUCAAUGGCCGAGAGGCUGAACCAGCCAAGCCGCGUGAGGGAAGACGGCUCUACGGGUUGUAAACCUCUUUUGUCGGGGAGAAAAGCGAACCUAGUGUGGUUCAUUGAGAGUACCCGAAGAAAAGCAUCGGCUAACUCCGUGCCAGCAGCCGCGGUAAUACGGAGGAUGCGAGCGUUAUCCGGAUUCAUUGGGUUUAAAGGGUGCGCAGGCGGAGGUGCAAGUCAGCGGUCAAAUUGCGGGGCUCAACCCCGUACUGCCGUUGAAACUGCAUCCCUAGAGUGCGCGAGAGGUAAGCGGAAUGCGUGGUGUAGCGGUGAAAUGCAUAGAUAUCACGCAGAACUCCAGUUGCGAAGGCAGCAUACCGGCGCGCAACUGACGCUCAUGCACGAAAGCGUGGGUAUCGAACAGGAUUAGAUACCCUUGUAGUC
rnacentral:rRNA from 1 species